UACGUAGGGGGCAAGCGUUGUCCGGAAUCAUUGGGCGUAAAGCGUGUGUAGGCGGCUACGUAAGUCGGAUGUGAAAGCCCCAGGCUCAACCUGGGAAGUGCACUCGAUACUGCGUAGCUUGAGUAUCGGAGAGGUUGGUGGAAUUCUCGGUGUAGAGGUGAAAUUCGUAGAUAUCGAGAGGAACACCGGUGGCGAAGGCGGCCAACUGGACGAAUACUGACGCUGAGACACGAAAGCGUGGGGAGCAAACAGG
rnacentral:rRNA from 1 species